rnacentral:lncRNA from 1 species
GUCACUGCCCAUUGGCGCUGGCGCCAGGCGGGGGCGCGGGCGGGGCAGCAGUUCCGAGUCCGGCGCGCACGGGCAGGGUCCCCAUUGCCUGCCGCGCACCCGGACUAGCGACUACCCUCGGCCUCCUCGCCAUGGACGCGGACGACUCCCGGGCCCCCAAGGGCUCUUUGCGGAAGUUCCUGGAGCACCUCUCCGGGGCCGGCAAGGCCAUCGGCGUGCUGACCAGUGGCGGGGAUGCUCAAGUGGGUCUCAGGCCCUCCCCGCCAGCCUCCGCGGACCGGAAGGACCAGGAAGCGGGGACUCCGGGACGUCAGCGGCGCCGCGGCGCGGGCUCUGGGCUUCCCCUGCCCUGCAAUGUGGAAGCGGCUCUCCAGGAGGGGCCCGAGCCUGGACCCACGACGCGGGCGCGCCGGGAGGACAUUUAACAUUGAAGAGCGGGAGGUGAUGGAGAGUGCGCUCCCCAGGCCCCGGGUGCACGUAGGGGCGCCUGUGCCCGGGAUCGGGAGGGUGAGGCCUUCUCCGUCAGGUAGACUUGUUAAAUCUAUCUGAAAGUCACAGAUAACUAAGUGUCAAGUCGUCACAGAUAUUUAUGUAUCCUGAAUGAGAUGGCUACGGAAAACAUGAAAACAUCGUUACUGCUUACGUGCAUGAUGCAUCCAAAACAUUGUUACCUGCACAGUGGCAGCACUGAUAUUUGUGGGCUUUUGAACGUGUGGACUGGAGUGUUAAGAGUCCUUCAGAGUCAUGACAGUAGUUUGAUUUGAAUGUUCUUUUCUUGGCGAAUAAAUGCUGUACAUUGAAUUUACCCAGGAAACUAGGAAGGUGAACCCACACGAAGGACACAGACCUGUGGGCUGCUCCAGGCACCAUUAGGGCGUUGCGGGGCCUGAGCCAUGGGCUUCCCGUUCAGCCUCUUGAGAGCCGUGAUGGCGUCUCUGUUCUGCCUCACACUGGACCCGCUAGUUUCUUUUUUUUUUUUUUUUUUUUUUUUGUUGAGACAGAGUCUCGCUUUGUCGCCCAGACUGGAGUGCAGUGGCCGGAUCUCAGCUCACUGCAAGCUCCGCCUCCCGGGUGCACGCCAUUCUCCUGCCUCAGCCUCCCGAGUAGCUGGGACUACAGACGCCCGCCACCUCGCCCGGCUAGUUUUUUGUAUUUUUUAGUAGAGACGGGGUUUCACCGUGUUAGCCAGGAUGGUCUCGAUCUCCUGACCUUGUGAUCCGCCCAUCUCGGCCUCCUAAAGUGCUGGGAUUACAGGCUUGAGCCACCGCGCCCGGCUGGACCCGCUAGUUUCAUAUUCUUGUUAUGGUUCCGAAGCUACAAGCGGUUGGAUUCUGCGAGUCGCUCUCUGUCUUCCUCCUCCAGCUGCUUUCAAAUGGGUCGUCUCUUUUUUAGAACUUCUUUUUUAAGCAGUGAUUGAUGGGGUGAGUUGUAGUGCUGUCCUGAACUGCAGAGGGAGCGCACUGAGGAACCUGGAUUUUGAUGCUGUGCACAUCAGCUGAGUCAGCAGCCCAGGGCCCUGUCAGUCCCAUUAUUAAGCUUAUUUCUUGCUCUUCGACGCCUUAAAAAAAAAAGCAAACUCCUGCUUGCUGUCACUGGCUGUUUGGCAAAUGGGUGUUUACCCUGGAAAGAGGGACAUUUUGUCCUCUGGACCGUCUAAGGCGCCCUUUAGUGACAUGGUCCGUUUCUGACCACUCUAUUCUGUGGGCGUCCUUCCUGCUUCCACCUUCCCUUUCCAAACGCCUCCGCCUCCAGGGCUUUAAUUUUCCUUCUGUGUGUGUGUCACGCAGAGGUUACGACUAUUGCGCCAGUGCCCUUAUUUUAUUUUAUUUUUUUCCUGCGGAGGUCCCAGAAUUUGCUACAUCUCAAAAGAAGCAAUUGCAUCCAUUUGUUCGCGAUGAUCAUAAACAGUGCCCUCUAAGGGAGACUAAUUGGUCAACCCGUCUGCUGUGGGUAGAAAGACAGCGGUGGCGCGGAACGAGGGCUCUGCCUCUUCAGAGCCUGCACAACCAUCCUGCUUUCUUUCUUCAAUAUCCAGUAGGGGGUUAAUUUGAAUAAGCCCUUGAAACCAACAAAGCAGGAAAGUGCAAAGACAUUGAGUUGCGAGAUUUAAAAUGACAACCAGCAGCCUCUCAUUCUUCCUUCACUGGGGGUUGCCACUUCGUUUUGGGGCUGCAGGGUAUGUUUGGCAGCGACAUCGGACCUUUGUGCUGUGCGACUCAUGAAUUGAGAUAGUUCCUUACUAAGUGCUUUGUGCUGUAGGUAUGAAAAUGGGGAAAGAGGGAGCACUGUCCCGGGUGGAGAGGCGUGGAGAGACGCUGUGAUACAUAGCAGGUCCUUUUCUUCUGGGCUCCUGGUUAUAAAUCUUUUUUUUUUUUUCUAAUAGCCUGACAGAUGGUUUUUGUGUCUUUUUUUUUUUUUUUGAGACGGAGUCUGGCUCUGCCGCCCGGGCUGGAGUGCAGUGGCCAGAUCUCAGCUCACUGCAAGCUCCGCCUCCCGGGUUUACGCCAUUCUCCUGCCUCAGUCUCCCGAGUAGCUGGGACUACAGGCGCCCGCCACCUCGCCCGGCUAUUUUUUUUGUAUUUUUUAGUAGAGACGGGGUUUCACUGUGUUAGCCAGGAUGGUCUCGAUCUCCUGACCUCGUGAUCCGCCCAUCUCGGCCUCCCAAAGUGCUGGGAUUACAGGCUUGAGCCACCGCGCCGGCCCUGGUUUUUGUGUCUUAAUUAAAAGAUUGAAGACUGUGGGCCAGAUCCAAACUAAUUCCAUUGGCAUCAGAGAGAAGGAUUCUGUGCAUAUUUAUCUAUAGGCAUAAUUGAUUUUUUUUUUGGUCCAAUUAUCUGGUUAGUCAAAUCAUACAUUACAGAAGUAAUAUUUAAAAUUAAAAAACUAAAAAUAAAAAAUGUAUCUGUAAACCUAUCCCCCUUCCAUUCCAGUCUUUGUCUCUGUGUAAUUUUAGAACCGUGAACCACGAUGUACACAGAGUUUAUACUCUUUUAAUAUCUUGCUACUUCAUUGUUUUAAUGUUUAAUCUUUAGGUUGAUGUAUCACAGGUUGCUUGAUCAUUUCUUACAGGUGUUUGGUUUAGUUUUUUUUUUUUUUUUUUCCCUUUAACUCUAAUGUAAAUUUGAGUAUUUGGCUGGUAGUUUUAGCAGGAUUUAAGGCAGAGCCUCAGUUAGGGCCGCGGAUCGAUUUAUGGUCCCUACUUUGAGGAGGGAAGUGGCAAUCUGCCCUUUCUUCUAUAAUUGAUAUGUUGAAUCACAAUGGACAUUUACUUGAUUUUGAGCACUUGGAACUCCCCUGGGGUUCACUGAUAUUGCAAGGUCAGGACUGGGGAUCUCCUGCUGGAGAGGCCCCCGGCGUGCCCAGGGCAGGGUCCUGAGCGCGUUGCUGCAGGACAGAAGCCCUGGGCUUUGUCCUCCAGCAGCCAUCACUCUGGGAAGGACUGGCUGCUCCAGGAAUGAGGUCUAUGCUCUGAAACCCACAGUCAGCAGACCAGCAAAGGUCAGCACAGACGACCUUCUAUGAAUCAUUCAUUUAGCAAGCAUUCAUGGAAUACACACUCCGUGCAGUUGGAACUUAGAGUGGAGGGCCAUCAGCUCACUGUUGUCUGAGCAGAGCUUGAUCUCUGGCUCCCUGUUGUAGCCUCCGCUCCUAGGAGGUGCACAGUGAGUGUUGGGGAACCCUCCACAGGCACAGUUGCUGAACAAGGACCCCUCCCAAGGGCGUCAGCCCUGGGCCCUGAGCUCUGAAGAGGAGGAAGGCAUUCCUAGGGCCGACUUCCCUUCUGGAUACUGAGCUCUGCACAGAGAGAAACUCUUCCACAUUCACUGCGGUGAAGUUCCUAAAACAAAUAACACUUUAGAGACUGGGGCCUGCAUUCCCCGGAAUUUCAUGGCCACAGGUGGUGGCUGUACCGUGCGACUGGAGUCUGCGUUCCCUGGAAUUUCUGUGGCUGCAGGUGGUGUCUGCACCAUGCAACUGGUGUCCCUGGAAUUUCCGUGGCCAAAGGUGGUGACUGUACCAUGUGAAUGAGGGUCUGUGUUCCCUGGAAUUUCCAUGGCUAUAGAUGGUGGCUGUACCAUGUGUCUGAGGGUCUGCCUUCCCUGGAAUUUCUGUGGCUGCGGAUGGUAACUGUACCAUGUGACUGAGGGUCUGCAUUCCCUGGAAUUUCUGUGGUCGCAGAUGGUGGCUGUACCAUGCAACUGGGGCCUGCAUUCCCUGGAAUUUCCAUGGCCACAGGCGGUGGCUGCACCAUGCAUCAGGUCCUGUCUCAGGAGUUGGUGUCAUUCUCUCUGUUACUCCCUCACCUGACACAGAGCGGCAGUUCCUGACCUUAUCACUCCCAGGAAACACACAGGCAUCUGUUUUGGAUCCUUGUUUUAUUUCCCCAUUACCUUUGUCAUCAAAGGGAAAUUCACAUCCCUAUGAAGCCGAAAAUGGUGUGGGGCCCCCUGGUGGUCUUUCCAAGGCAUUAUCAGCAGGUAAACUAGACCGUAUGGGCCAGUGUACCUGAAAUGAAAACAGAAAGGUAAGUCGUGUCACUAAGCUUUGCUGGGAGAUUCAGGGUCUUUGUCAGUGACAGAGUCAUCCAAAGUAAGUUGUUUGUUCACUGCAGAUCGACACGGUUAGCUGUGUCGGGAUUAAACUUACCCAGUGUCGACAGAGUGUAGCUUAAUCCUCACGGAGGGGUGUCAAGUACAUUGAAGAAUAGCUGCCGAGCCUGCUAUUGUCGGGAGAGGGGCAGGUGCCUCUCUCGCUUAGCCCAAUGCUGAAGGAGGCCGGGCUCACGUCAGGCCGUGCGUGUGAGCGAGCUGGAUGUUUAGCACGCUGGGACGAUAGAGCACAAACAUCUAUUUUUAACUUGUGGGUGACCUUCUUCUGUGCUGCUUGAGUCUCUGUGGACCUUUCUCUGUUUCCUUCCUGAGGAGUCUAUGCCAGGGUCCCAGGCGUUCUCUGCGCUGCACCUCGGCGCCUGCCCACUCAGGAGCCUCCUCCUGGUGGCUGUGGGACCGGGCUGGGCCCACACUGUCAGCAUCGUCCGGGGUAAGCAAGCCCGUCCCUCCACACCUCAGUGUCCCCAGCUGUUGAACAGGGCUAAUCAACUGACCGUCAGGAUUAAUGGGGAUCAGAUGCGCUCAUCUCAUAGCCCUGCUUGGUAAACAGCCACUUCCACUCUGUCCUCCAAUGUGCUACUCUAGACUUUUUCUUUACCUCCAUUUAGCCAGGUGAUUCGAGGUGACAGUGACUAUCAAGAGGGACGUACAGAGGAAAUCAGUGGAAGAGAGCUCGAGGAGCAGACAUGGGUGCAGGGAACACAGUGCGGGGAGCACGGGUGCAGGGAACAUAGGCAUGGGGAGCACAGAUAGGUGUGGGGAGGUGAGGAUGGGUGCGGGGAGCACGGGUGUGGGCAGCACGGGUGCCCGGAGCACAGGUGUGGGG